UACGAAGGGGGCUAGCGUUGCUCGGAAUCAUUGGGCGUAAAGAGCGCGUAGGCGGUCCGGUAAGUCCGCUCUGAAAGUCCGGGGCUCAAUCCCGGGAGGCGGGCGGAUACUGUCGGGCUAGAGUCCGGAAGAGGCGAGUGGAAUUCCUGGUGUAGCGGUGAAAUGCGCAGAUAUCAGGAGGAACACCAAUGGCGAAGGCAGCUCGCUGGGACGGUACUGACGCUGAGGCGCGAAAGCGUGGGGAGCAAACAGG
rnacentral:rRNA from 1 species